UGGCUUGCAAACUGCCAAUAAACCUCACAGGAAAAAUAAUAUUAUGACCACUGACAGGUGACGUGAAUAUUCACUUACUGAUGAGCUUGUUACAGCCACCUGUUAGUGGGUGGGGUAUAUAAGGCAGCAAGCCAACAACACCGAAGGAAGGAGAGACGGUGAACGACAGGUAUACGGAUGCCCAUGGCUCACUGAUGAUGACGACCUACUGCAGGUCUUUUGCAGCUAAAUCUUAAUGUGCAGCGUUCCGUGAAUGCAGAUGCUUAGCUAUUUCGCUGAGGUAAAGCAGGCAGGUUUUACAGUAAGAAUGUAUUUCAACACUUCAUAUGUGCACCUUAAGACCUGAAUACAUCAGCUCUAGAACUUGAGGCACAAGGCCCAGUGAAGACAAUCCAAAGCUUUGUGGGCUUGCACUACAAACCUCAUAACAAUUCAGAUGGUUUGAUGGCGAUUAACCCAGCAGAGGGAUGACAUCAGUAUUCUUUCCUUGGAACUUGCCACCAGUAAUUCCGACAGCUGUUUCAACAUACAAUCCUUAACCAGAUGUCAUUCUUUGGCCAGACAAUCGGCAGCAUUCUUGAGGACAUGCACAGAGACGGGCAA